AGCCUCCUGGUGCUUACCACUGGCUAUGUUUUUACAUAGAAUGUACAGAAAGAGAAAGAGUAAACCCACCAAAUAUACCUCAGCCCAGGCCCUCUGCCUGGUUUGUACUGUGAAUGGGGGGACACUA